CAACCCCUAAGCACAGCUUAUUGUUGGGCGUCUACUCCUGUAGUGCCUCAAAGACAUUGGCGGAGCGGCAGUAGUCCUCUGAGCGUAGUAAUUCUUUAUCUCGCUUCUGUUAGGCGCUGCCCCCCCGGCCGUAAAACCCCCCCAUUUUUUUCU
rnacentral:misc_RNA from 1 species